GCCGACUAUAGUGUACUCCUUUCGGUUCAUUUUAUCUCAUACAAAAUAGAAUGAUACGAUCUUCUAGAUUACACUUUAACCAUACAUUUAUUUAUUUUAUUUUAUAUUAUUUAUGCUUAUAAACUUAUAAUUAUUGGAUAGUAUAAUUUCUUAAAAUCUAAUCAUAUAAAAUUUUUAUUAUAAUAGUUAAAAUUAUAAGCCUAAUUAUUGGACAAAAUUUAUACGCCUCUAGUAAUAUAAAGAGAUCAACCAUAGAAAGUAUAAUUAUUACUACUUCUAGUCCAUUUUAUCUGGCACACACGCAUAUCAAGAUUCAAACACAUAUGAGCUAUUUUAUCUACUAGGAGUAUAUAUAAAUUACGAAUGGUAUCAUCUCCAACAAUUUUAUGCCAAACUCUCUAUUAUCAACUAAAAACGCACGUGUUGCUUAAAAAAACUAAAAACGCAUAUGUUUAAUUUUAUAUUUAGCGCAGUCAAUUAAUUUGUGACAACGCUCAUAUUUAAAUUCAACAGAAAAUAGUGUAUAUAUUCCUCGC
rnacentral:lncRNA from 1 species